rnacentral:misc_RNA from 1 species
UUUUUUUUUUUUUUUUUUAAAUCCAAAUCCACGGGGGUUAUGGCAACAUUUUGAUAAUCACCACCUACAAGUAAAGGAAAGCAAGCAGAAAAACCAAAAUCCAAAUAAAAAAAGAAAAAAGAAGUUGGGGCUAAAAUUAGUGGGUCAUUUACAUGAAAUAGAACACGCUUGAUUUAGUUGCCAGCAAGCCACCAUCUCGUCUGGAAAAAAAUUGUAGAUUCAAUUCAAUCACCAUACGGUCUUCAUAUCCUCUCUUUUGCCCCCACUUUCUUUUUAAUUUUUUUUUCCAUAAUUUCCGCAUCGAUCCAGGCGGCAUUUACAUCAGCCUCCAUUUUUUUUUUCUUUUGACAGCUUCAUAUGUAAUUGCUGGUUUUCACUUUUCAGCAACAGUAUUUAACCAUGCUUCAUUCUUUUGCUUGGUCACUCGCUUCAGUUUCUUCCAUGAUUAAUCCAUCUGUUUUCUGCUGCCAAAUAAGUUAAACUUAAAAAAUUAAGCUAACAGCCAGAUCAAAACACCUUCUUGGAACAGCACAUCCCUAAGAUAAACAUGUGAGCAUGUCUCAAGGACAAUUAGUUGAAGAUCAAAUUAAUAACAGAAUAAAGUCAAGCCCCCUAUUCCAUUCCACUUGUUCCAGCAUACCUAUUUUUAUAAGGAACCCCUCUUUAUUCUUAAUUAUUUUUUGAGGAAAAGGAAUCAAUAUCAGAAUCUAACAUCAGAUUCACCCAUUAGCCAUUUGAUCUUGACAGCAAAAAUGAUUCCUAGUUCCCCAAACUCAGUUAAAAUAAUAUGGUCUACCAUCAUAUGUACAUACCAAAACUAUCAACAAUAUUCAAAUGAGAGGAAAAAAAAAAAUUAACACUGGCAUUACCGGCUUGUGAUCUAAUUUUUAAUGUCUAAAAACAAAGAUGUAAAAGGGAAAAGGCAAACCUGAUUAUGAUCCAAAUGGGUCACCAAUGACCUGAGCCUUUUCUCUUGCAUCACCUUUUGGCGGCUUUCAUAAAAAUCAAAAUCAUCCAAUAUAGAUGUUUUGGAAACAUAGUUCUUAAAUACAUUUAACAUUUCCAUACCCUGUGGAAAUCUGACCUCCUGUGUGUCUCUACUAUUAGUAAUAGGCUUGUUCUCAUUGUUCUCAAGAAUAAUGUGUUUCAAAAGGCUGUUGGGAACAUCCUUCACUACAUGCCACUUGACAGGGAAACAGCCGUUCCAUUUGUCCUGUUGCCAGUAUUCCAAGUUCUUCUGAAAGUCAACUGGUCCAAUCAUCUCAGCAAGGCCAACAAAUUGCCCACUGGUAUUGACCGAAAAGAAAAGAAAAACAGGACAACCACCAGCCUUCUCUUGAGCUUCCUGGUAUGCAGCAUCAAGUUUCUUGUUACCAUUAGGUGUGCUAGCCCAAACAUUAUACUUGAUGCUUUUGUGCACAUCAUCUUCGCUGUAUGAUUUAAUAACAAAGAAUUUGGCCUCAGCAUAUUCCUCAGGAAAAUCUGCUUUGUUGUAUUGAUCUCGGUCUGGAGUAGACACCUUAUCUUUUUCUUCUUCAUCUGUUGCAUUCAUUGGUGGUAAAAGUUGUCCCUUCACAGCUAGAACACUGGGCACAAAUCCCUUCUGGUUCUUGCUACCCUUAGCUCUUGGUCCCCUAUUCAGCUCAUUCAAUCCAUCCAUGUUCUCAUUUCCAUAUCCAUAAUAGCCACCAUUUCGACCCCUAGGCUUGUAUUUGUUGUCCACCGCAAGCCACACACGCCCAUUAGAUCGUGAAUCAUAACCAUGUGAGGCAAACCCUACACCAGAUCUGACCGUGUUUCCAAAUUGACCAUACAACUUAUUGGGGUACAUCCUAUUUAUAUAACCCUGGGUGGUGUUCAUUCCUGACAUGGGUCUAGGAUGAGGAAAACCUACAUAGUGAGAGCCAGGACGGAAACUUGGACUCCUUGAAGAAGGUAUGUUGUUUGCAUUUGAGAUAGAAGAGGUAAUAGUAGAGCUACUGACAAGCCUAGACUGUCCAUCUGAGUACAGUGGACCAUCUAACCAUGGGAAAGAAUUCCUCGACCCUUCAAAACCGUAUCUGGGAUCCUGAUAACCCGAAGCAGGAAUAUGUCCUGGCAAAGCACCCCUUGCAUACGCAUUUGAACCAAAUGUUGAAUUUUGAUAUGUAGAUUUUAAGGGAGCUGCACCAUUGUUUCCCUUUGUUCCCCCACCAUUUGUCAAGCCAUUACCAUUUGCAUUAGUUGUUUCCACUGGAAUUGGCUUUUGCUCAGUGGCUGCAGAGGUAGAAAUGUCUCCCUGGGUUGGAGGAACUGUUGUAGGACUAGGAGUAUACGGCCCACUGGUCGGAGUAAGAGGCUGAAAAUAUGGAGGAUAUUGGUAGUGCUGAGGUCCAUACAGCUGACCAUCAUUCCCCAUAGAGGGAACUGGAGAAGCUGCAGGUGAAUAAGGACCAUAGGGUCCAUAUCCAUAACCAUGGUGAUACAUAAGAGAUCCAUUAUCCCCAUAGACUCCAGAAGUCAUUUCUACCCCAUCUGAAUUUGUAUAUCUUGAAUAAUCAUCCCAGUCAUUUCCAGUCCCAUCAAACCCUCCAUAGUAAUAAGAUGGAUAUCCAUUAGGAAGAUAGCACAUGCUUGGAUCCAUGAAUUCCUGUAAAAAUGGAGUCACAGACCGUUCAUUUGGAAUCUGAGAAAUAGCAGCAUUCGCAGAAUCAAUGGACCCAUAUUGAUUAGCAGAUUGCUUUUUCGUUGGCUCUGGAAUCUCAACAGGCUUGGCCUGAGCAUCCAAUGACAAC